GGUUAAAAAGCUCGUAGUUGGAUUUCUGUCGGAGACGGUCGGUCCGCUCUAUGAGCGUGUAUCUGAUUCGGCUUUGGCAUCCUCGUGGGGAACGUAACUGUGCUUGAUUGCAUGGUGCGGAAUUCACGACUUUUACUUUGAGGAAAUUAGAGUGUUCACGGCAGGCAAGCGCCUUGAAUACAUUAGCAUGGAAUAAUAAUAUAGGACUUGUGUUCUAUUUUGUUGGUUUCUAGGACAUAAGUAAUGAUUAAUAGGGAUAAUUGGGGGCAUUUGUAUUAACGCGUCAGAGGUGGAAUUCUUGGAUUGCGUUACGACAAACUACUGCGAAAGCAUUUGCCAAGGAUGUUUUCAUUGAUCAAGAACGAAAGUAUGGGGAUCGAAGAUGAUUAGAUACCGUCGUAGUCUAUACCAUAAACUAUGCCGACUAGAGAUUGGAGGUCGUUCUCUCCAUGACUCCUUCAGCACCUUAUGAGAAAUCAAAGUCUUUGGGUUCCGGGGGGAGUAUGGUCGCAAGGCUGAAACUUAAAGGAAUUGACGGAAGGGCACCACCAGGAGUGGAGCCUGCGGCUUAAUUUGACUCAACACGGGAAAACUCACCGGGUCCAGACAUAGUAAGGAUUGACAGAUUGAUAGCUCU
rnacentral:rRNA from 1 species